rnacentral:rRNA from 1 species
UACGUAGGUGGCAAGCGUUGUCCGGAUUUACUGGGCGUAAAGAGCGCGCAGGCGGUCGGAUAAGUCGAAUGUGAAAGCCCCGGCUCAACUGGGGAGGGUCAUUCGAUACUGUUCGACUCGAAGGCAGGAGAGGGAAGUGGAAUUCCCGGUGUAGUGGUGAAAUGCGUAGAUAUCGGGAGGAACACCAGUGGCGAAGGCGACUUCCUGGCCUGUUCUUGACGCUGAGGCGCGAAAAGCUAGGG